rnacentral:tRNA from 1 species
AUGCCCGUAGCUCAGAUGGGUAGAGCACCGAGCAGAACGGCUUCUGCCGCUCCUUGUCCGCCACGCGCGGGCCGAAGGUGGACGCUUAACGGCACUCGGCGGACGCGGGUUCGAAUCCCGCCGGGCGUUCCA